rnacentral:rRNA from 1 species
AUGCAAGUCGAGCGGACAGAUGGGAAGCUUGCUCCCUGAUGUUAGCGGCGGACGGGUGAGUAACACGUGGGUAACCUGCCUGUAAGACUGGGAUAACUCCGGGAAACCGGGGCUAAUACCGGAUGGUUGUCUGAACCGCAUGGUUCAGACAUAAAAGGUGGCUUCGGCUACCACUUACAGAUGGACCCGCGGCGCAUUAGCUAGUUGGUGAGGUAACGGCUCACCAAGGCGACGAUGCGUAGCCGACCUGAGAGGGUGAUCGGCCACACUGGGACUGAGACACGGCCCAGACUCCUACGGGAGGCAGCAGUAGGGAAUCUUCCGCAAUGGACGAAAGUCUGACGGAGCAACGCCGCGUGAGUGAUGAAGGUUUUCGGAUCGUAAAGCUCUGUUGUUAGGGAAGAACAAGUGCCGUUCAAAUAGGGCGGCACCUUGACGGUACCUAACCAGAAAGCCACGGCUAACUACGUGCCAGCAGCCGCGGUAAUACGUAGGUGGCAAGCGUUGUCCGGAAUUAUUGGGCGUAAAGGGCUCGCAGGCGGUUUCUUAAGUCUGAUGUGAAAGCCCCCGGCUCAACCGGGGAGGGUCAUUGGAAACUGGGGAACUUGAGUGCAGAAGAGGAGAGUGGAAUUCCACGUGUAGCGGUGAAAUGCGUAGAGAUGUGGAGGAACACCAGUGGCGAAGGCGACUCUCUGGUCUGUAACUGACGCUGAGGAGCGAAAGCGUGGGGAGCGAACAGGAUUAG